rnacentral:ncRNA from 2 species
GUAAGUGACAAACACAGACCUCAUAUAAUAGCGGGAAUAAGGCUCGCGAGUUUCUACCUGGUUACCUUAAAUAACCGGACUAUGGGGAAAGCACAACUUAUC